rnacentral:rRNA from 1 species
UGAGGAAUAUUGGUCAAUGGGGGCAACCCUGAACCAGCGACGCCGCGUGAGGGACGAAGGUCUUCGGAUUGUAAACCUCUUUUGCAGGGGACGAGAAUGGACGGUACCCUGCGAAUAAGCCUCGGCUAACUACGUGCCAGCAGCCGCGGUAAUACGUAGGAGGCAAGCGUUAUCCGGAGUUACUGGGCGUAAAGCGUCUGUAGGUGGUUGAACACGUCUGCUGUGAAAGGGUUUUGCUUAACAAAACAACGGCGGCGGAUACGGUUCGACUAGAGGGUCGUAGAGGAGCGCGGAAUUCCGGGUGUAGUGGUAAAAUGCGUAGAGAUCCGGAGGAACACCAGCGGCGCAAGCGGCGCUCUGGGCGACAACUGACACUGAGAGACGACGGCAUAGGGAGCGA